rnacentral:rRNA from 1 species
UACGUAGGGUGCGAGCGUUAAUCGGAAUUACUGGGCGUAAAGCGUGCGCAGGCGGUUCGCCGUGUCCUGUGUGAAAGCCCCGGGCUUAACCUGGGAAUUGCAUGGGAAACUGGCGGGCUCGAGUGUGGCAGAGGGGGGUGGAAUUCCGCGUGUAGCAGUGAAAUGCGUAGAUAUGUGGAGGAACACCGAUGGCGAAGGCAGCCUCCUGGGCCAGUACUGACGCUCAUGCACGAAAGCGUGGGGAGCAAACAGG